rnacentral:rRNA from 1 species
CGCGGAAGAUGUAACGGGGCUAAACCAUGCACCGAAGCUGCGGCAGCGACACUGUGUGUUGUUGGGUAGGGGAGCGUUCUGUAAGCCUGUGAAGGUGUGUCGUGAGGCAUGCUGGAGGUAUCAGAAGUGCGAAUGCUGACAUAAGUAACGAUAAAGCGGGUGAAAAGCCCGCUCGCCGGAAGACCAAGGGUUCCUGUCCAACGUUAAUCGGGGCAGGGUGAGUCGACCCCUAAGGCGAGGCCGAAAGGCGUAGUCGAUGGGAAACGGGUUAAUAUUCCCGUACUUGGUGUUACUGCGAAGGGGGGACGGAGAAGGCUAUGUUGGCCGGGCGACGGUUGUCCCGGUUUAAGUGUGUAGGUGUGUGUUCCAGGUAAAUCCGGUUCACUUUAACACUGAGGCGUGACGACGAGGCACUACGGUGCUGAAGCAACAAAUGCCCUGCUUCCAGGAAAAGCCUCUAAGCAUCAGGUAACAUCAAAUCGUACCCCAAACCGACACAGGUGGUCAGGUAGAGAAUACCAAGGCGCUUGAGAGAACUCGGGUGAAGGAACUAGGCAAAAUGGUGCCGUAACUUCGGGAGAAGGCACGCUGACACGUAGGUGAAGUGAUUUACUCAUGGAGCUGAAGUCAGUCGAAGAUACCAGCUGGCUGCAACUGUUUAUUAAAAACACAGCACUGUGCAAACACGAAAGUGGACGUAUACGGUGUGACGCCUGCCCGGUGCCGGAAGGUUAAUUGAUGGGGUCAGCGCAAGCGAAGCUCCUGAUCGAAGCCCCGGUAAACGGCGGCCGUAACUAUAACGGUCCUAAGGUAGCGAAAUUCCUUGUCGGGUAAGUUCCGACCUGCACGAAUGGCGUAAUGAUGGCCAGGCUGUCUCCACCCGAGACUCAGUGAAAUUGAACUCGCUGUGAAGAUGCAGUGUACCCGCGGCAAGACGGAAAGACCCCGUGAACCUUUACUAUAGCUUGACACUGAACAUUGAGCCUUGAUGUGUAGGAUAGGUGGGAGGCUUUGAAGUGUGGACGCCAGUCUGCAUGGAGCCGACCUUGAAAUACCACCCUUUAAUGUUUGAUGUUCUAACGUGGACCCGUUACCCGGGUUGCGGACAGUGUCUGGUGGGUAGUUUGACUGGGGCGGUCUCCUCCUAAAGAGUAACGGAGGAGCACGAAGGUUGGCUAAUCCUGGUCGGACAUCAGGAGGUUAGUGCAAUGGCAUAAGCCAGCUUGACUGCGAGCGUGACGGCGCGAGCAGGUGCGAAAGCAGGUCAUAGUGAUCCGGUGGUUCUGAAUGGAAGGGCCAUCGCUCAACGGAUAAAAGGUACUCCGGGGAUAACAGGCUGAUACCGCCCAAGAGUUCAUAUCGACGGCGGUGUUUGGCACCUCGAUGUCGGCUCAUCACAUCCUGGGGCUGAAGUAGGUCCCAAGGGUAUGGCUGUUCGCCAUUUAAAGUGGUACGCGAGCUGGGUUUAGAACGUCGUGAGACAGUUCGGUCCCUAUCUGCCGUGGGCGCUGGAGAACUGAGGGGGGCUGCUCCUAGUACGAGAGGACCGGAGUGGACGCAUCACUGGUGUUCGGGUUGUCAUGCCAAUGGCACUGCCCGGUAGCUAAAUGCGGAAGAGAUAAGUGCUGAAAGCAUCUAAGCACGAAACUUGCCCCGA